rnacentral:rRNA from 1 species
ACGCUCGACACCUACGGGAGCAGCAGUUGGGAAUAUUGGACAAUGGAGGAAACUCUGAUCCAGUGACGCCGCGUGAAGGAAGAAGGUCUUCGGAUUGUAAACUUAUUUUGUCAGGGAAGAAAAAUGACUGUACCUGAAGAAAAAGCACCGGCUAACUACGUGCCAACAGCCGCGGUAAUCUGAGCGGGCUGGCAAGGC